CCCUGGUUUCUGGAAAAUCUUAAAACUUUAAUAUCUUCAUCAUUUUUCAACCAAAUUCCACGAAUUUUAUAUGGAUUUGAAGCUCUCAACUAGAAGAACACAAUCUUACCUAUUUGAGGUCCUAAAACCUACGUAAAAUGGUCGGAAUAAGGCAUGGAACAACCGGCCAACUUGCAACUUCAUGUUCUUGCCUAUUCCAACAUUCAAACUGCUCCAAAACUAAUCUAGGGUCCUUAUAAAGUUGAUUAGGACCCACCUCGAGCCCUUAAACUUUAGAAAAAAACCACGAUCACGACGUAGAAAAAUACACCUUGCCGAAGCUCAGGAGUUCUCGAAUUCCCAACAUCUAUUCCUCUACCUAAGGGUACCAAUAAGUUCGUGGGGCCGAGGUGAGCGCGAUGGUAGUGAUUUCCAAUUCGAUCUGUGAUGUUUUGAUGAUGAUUGUGAAGUAAGGGUGGCUCGGGUGUAAGGAAGGAGAAGAAAGAAUAAGAAGGUCCAAGAGAAGAGAGAUAGUGAAGGUGUGUGCGUGCGUGAUUGGGCAGAAGGAAAAAUGAGAGAGAUUUUUAAUUUAAUUGGGCCAAAGAAAUCAGGAACUAAGGUAAUUGGUGGGUAAGGUAUAGCCAACUCAUAAAAAUAUAUUUCUACCCAUUUACACACUCAUUUGUUCGUAACUUCUUUGUUAUGAAUCCGAUUUGGCCCUAGAUCACAUCAACACACUCAUGGCAUCGAGUACGAUUUAACUACGACGGUAGAAAUAAUAAUUUAAAACACAUAUGUACAUCCACGUCACUAAACCACGAGAGCAUUACCGUCACUUUACACACUCAGGGAGAAAAUUAUAUAAUAAUUCGGAACGGGUCGUCACAACUAAACCCAACAAAGAGAUGAAAGAAGUUAAAAUAUUUCUAUUUAACAUAAUGACAUAUCAAUUUAGUAAAAAAAUUAUAUAAAAUGUCACGUAAAUUAUAAAAUAUUAUUUUAAUAUUUACAUUUGACAUCUCCUUAAUUACUAACAAACGAUAUAGUAUCAUUUAUUUGAGGAAAAAGAAAAGGUUAAAAAUUGGUAUUGGUAGUAUUGGUAGAAAAUACACCCAUGCUAGAUGGUUGCUGAACUUGGAUAUAAACACGUGGGGGACCCUACUUAGUCAUGGGUUCAACGUCCACCAAGAUAGUGUGCGCCAGAGCACCACCACAUUGCGCUCUCCUGGCGUCUCGACUCUCAUUUGAACGCGUGAGGAGGAGGAUCAAAAGUGAAGCACUGGGAAGCAACCACGUGUUUCUUCCUUUUACUGUCCCCAUGUGGUCUCACGAGUCGAUGGGCUUGCUCCCUUAACCCCAAAAGCCGAAGGAAAAUACUUGGCUGAGAUAACUGAGACCCCCUUGUCCCACGACCCUCGGGGCCCACAGCCUUAAUUAAGAACUUUAACAAAAAAACUUAUGGUACUGUUCAUUUUAACAAAAAAUCAUAUUUUUACACUAAAAGUCAAUAAUGGUACUAUUCAAUUUACUCUUUAUUUUGUCCUUAUCGUGAAAAUUCAAAGUUUUCAAGCCUUUUUCAUUAGUUUUUCUUUUUUUGAAUUGAUUUUUGAAAGCUUUAACGAAAAGUUUCCCGUACUAUUCAUUUUUAUUAUAAAAAGUUAAUUCUGGUACUAUUCACUUACAACACAUUGUUGUUAUUUUUGUUGAAACUCAAAGUUUUCAAAUCCUUUUUAUUAAUUUUCCUAUGAUUUUUCAAUGUCUCGUGGAGUUACAAACUCACACAUGUGCCGUAUUUUUUGCAAAAAAUUAGCAACCUUCUUAUUGAUCAUUCUCCUAGUCCUAUCUUUUUAACUUUCUUGCGAGCAUGCAAAGUACUUCGAUGAUAAGAUACAGUCUAAUUUUCAGAACACUCAUUAAAAAUUCAUUUACGAAAAAUUAACUAAACUAAUAUUCGUUUAUUGUUUAAUAUUAAUUUUUAUAAUUUAAUAGUUAACUAAAAAAUAUGGUUACUUUAUUAUUUGAAUAACUGUUGAUGAGUAAACAGUUACAAAUUUAAAAUUACGUCUCACAUAAAGUUCAUACAAAUGAAUUGAAAAUAUCACGCGAAUGAUGAAUACUAAAACUUUCCUCGCUCUUCUGUCGCAAAGGUCCGUGGCCCAAUUCAUCAUGCAGUUUGGUUUCUCUCAGCGCACGACACGAGUCUCAAACGGCCCAAUCACGCUUCAACCUCGGGUGGACCCCAUAGGGUGAGCCUCUGAGGGCAAAUCCCUACGUCAACUUCGGAGCCUGGCCCCCCAUAGAUGGAAGCGUAAUUAAGCACGAGUCUGACUUUGACAUGGAUCUUCGGCACAUCAUUGGCUAUUGGCUAUCUUGUUUGACUAAAGACUAUUCUCAAUAGGAACAUUUUUGCUUGGAGUAUGAUUCUCUCUCAAUUGAUUCUCAUCUCCUUUCCUCUUUUUUUUCUUACAUUUUGCUUUUUAUUUUUUUAUCUUUAUAAAAAAUUAAUAUGUCUUUAUAAAAAAAUUAAUAUAAGAUAUCAACGUAACUUAAUCGUAACCGUUCAAGUAAAAGGAGAAAUAUUAGGAGAAGAGAGAAUCUUCUUCCUUUUUGCUCACUAUCAUAACUAUUAUAUGUUCAUUAUACAUCUUAUCAUCUAUCAAGUGUCAUUUAAUCCAAUUUUAGUUAACUUUUAUAUUUUUUUAAUUUUUAAUUUUUAAUUCUUUUAAACAUGAGAUAUUAUCUUACAGACGAGGGAGGGGAAUAGGCUUAGCCUUACAAAUGAUUCCAAUAAUGUGGUUCAAAUUUGUCUUUGACGAGAAUUGAACCUAAUACCUCUCACUUAUAAUUGAAAAGGAAUACCACUAGACCGUAAUACUAAGUGACAUUUAUCUUUCACAUUAAAUGUUACAUUUUUUUUUCAAUUUGAAAAAUAAUUAACUAAGUUUAAGUGAAAGUGAAAAAACAUAUGAUAGAUGAUUAAGUGUAUAGUAAGCAUACACUAUAAUUUAGGGUGGUAGCAAAAAAGCAUCAUCCAGCAGCAAUCGAGAGUCGAAGGUCUGAUUCCACCUAGUGGCCAAUUCAACCAACAGAUAAAGCAACCCUAACCCUUAGCGCAAGCACUAAGAAAGUAAACAACCUUCGUGAACGUCACGAUCUCAAUUACUUGAUUAAGUUUAUAAAAAUUAGAGUAAAUUGUAGCAAUAGCCCUUAACUUUAACUCAAUUAGAGUAAGGGUCCAUCAACUAAAAAUCAAUUACCAUUGGUCCCUCGACUCAUCAAAACGUGCAACUAUGGUCUCUCAACUAAAAAUUCAUUACAAUUGGUCCCUCAACUUUAAUACAACUGGAGAAAUGGUCCCUCAACUUUAACCAAAUUUGAGCAAUGGUUCCUCAACUACAACUCAAUUGUAGCAAUGAUCAUUCCAACAUAACUCAUUUUGACAAAAUUCUAACAAAGUUGACGAAAAUGACCAUAUCUACACAUUUUAAUGAGUUGAGGGAGCCCAAUUGUAACAAUAGUCAUUCCAGCAUAACUUAUUUUGACAAAAUUCUAACGAACUUGACGAAAAUAAUCAUAACUACACAUUUUGAUGAGUUAAGGUACCAAUAGUAAUGGAUGUUUACUUGAAAGACCAUUACUCCAAUUUAAUUAAAGUUGAAAGAUCAUUGCUAAAAUUUACUCUAAAAAUUAGGAAAACUAAUGAAAACUAAUGAAAAGAGCAUGAAAACUAAUGAAAAGAGCUUGAAAACUUUGAGUUUUAAUGAUAGGGACAAAAUAAAGUAAAGUGAAUAGUACCAUGAUUGACUUUUUAGUGUAAAAAUAUGAUUUUUCAUUAAAAUGAACAGUACUAG
rnacentral:lncRNA from 1 species